AUAUUGGACAAUCGGCGAAAGCCUGAUCCAGCCAUUCCGCGUGUGUGAAGAAGGUGUUCGGAUUGUAAAGCACUUUAAGUUUGCAGGUAGGGUUUUAGAUUAAUACUCUUCAAUGUUGACUUUACCGACAUAAUAAGUACUGCCUAACUUCGAGCCAGCAGCCGCGGUAAUACGAAGGGUGCAAGCGUUAAUCGGAAUUACUGGGCGUAAACCGCGCGUAGGUGGUUCGUUAGGUUGGAUGUGAAAGCGCCGGGCGCAACCUGGGAACUGCAUCCAAAACUGGCGAGCUAGAGUACGGUAGAGGGUAGUGGAAUUUCCUGUGUAGCGGUGGAAUGCGUAGUUAUAGGAAGGAACAACAGUGGCGAAGGCGACCACCUGGACUGAUACUGACAUUGAGGUGCGAAAGCGUGGGGAGCAAACAGG
rnacentral:rRNA from 1 species